rnacentral:lncRNA from 1 species
AGUAGAUGUGAAGAUGGUGGCAAGAGGUUGGAGUGAGGCCAGAAAGCAGCCAGGAACCAAGGGUGGUAGGAGGUUUUUAGAAGCUGAAAAGACAAGAAAGUAGAUUGUCCCUGGGAGCCUCCAGAAAGCACAAGCCCUGCCAACACCUUGGCUUGAGCCCAGUGAAACUGAUUUUGGACUCCUGACCUCCAGAACUGCCUAAAGUGCUGGAAUGGAAAGAAGCCUAGAAUAAGAACUAAGCAGCACAAGCUUUGGCUUCAGCUCAGCCAAUAACCAGCUGUACAAUGGUGGUGAGUCAGAACUCUGGGCCUGCCUGUUUCCUUAUCUGUGAAAACCUGUAAAGAGGGCUUCUUACUCUGUUAAAAGUUUUCUACAGAAGUGGCAACUGGAUCCCAGAAACUCUUAUCUUCAUUGGGCAUUUCAUUCCUGGUCAAGAGCAACAAUAAUUUAACUGGCUGAUUUAUCAUUACAUACUGGGGUCUUUCUGACUCCCCUGCUUAUAGGAUCCUCCCUGACUUCAGGCCCACGUAGUCCAGAAACAUCCAAUCUCAGUUUUUUCCUCUGCCAUUUGUCUGAGAUUAUGUUUUCUGUUACCUACUGGCUGGCACUAGUUUUGAUAUCAGUCAGAUCCUGGAUUAUAAGCAACAGAAACCGACCUGACGAAUGAAAGCAGAAAAUUGUCAGAAGGAAUCAGUUGGAAGGUUGUAGAACCACUUUUGAAGAGUGGGCUGAAGCUGAAGAAGACAACCUCAUACCCAGAAAUAAUUUAGUUAUGAUACUGCCAUGGCAUUGUCAACACUGUCCAUUCACUGCUGUUGUGCCUUGAUCUUCAACAUUGCUAGUGGAAAUUCUCUACAGUCUCUGUAACAAGUACCCUCACAACAGACCUUGUAUCUUUGCAUCAAUUCUGCUGUUUCAAAGUGCUUGACAUGACCAUCCGAAUGAUUAAGCUUUCCAUUAAGACUUAAAUAUGGAGGGAUUCUGCCAAAUAGAAAGGGUUCCUUGCUGUUGUAUAGACACCCUUCACCAACCACCUAUUUCCCACCAAAUAAAAAUAGCUUUCAUCAUAAGGUAUCUGCAGACUUUGUGGUUCCUCCAGUGUCAUUUCAAUGAUAUCUAUACUCAAAACAUGAAAAUGUUUGAAGGGCC